AUUGAACGCUGGCGGCAUGCCUUACACAUGCAAGUCGAACGGCAGCACGGGAGCAAUCCUGGUGGCGAGUGGCGAACGGGUGAGUAAAGCAUCGGAACGUGCCCAGUCGUGGGGGAUAACGUAGCGAAAGCUACGCUAAUACCGCAUACGAUCUGUGGAUGAAAGCGGGGGACCGUAAGGCCUCGCGCGAUUGGAGCGGCCGAUGUCAGAUUAGGUAGUUGGUGGGGUAAAGGCCCACCAAGCCGACGAUCUGUAGCUGGUCUGAGAGGACGACCAGCCACACUGGGACUGCGACACGGCCCAGACUCCUACGGGAGGCAGCAGUGGGGAAUUUUGGACAAUGGGCGCAAGCCUGAUCCAGCAAUGCCGCGUGCAGGAUGAAGGCCUUCGGGUUGUAAACUGCUUUUGUACGGAGCGAAAAGGCUCCCUCUAAUACAGGGGGCUCAUGACGGUACCGUAAGAAUAAGCACCGGCUAACUACGUGCCAGCCGCCGCCGUAAUAC
rnacentral:rRNA from 1 species